CCUACGGGUGGCAGCAGUCGAGAAUCAUUCACAAUGGGGGAAACCCUGAUGGUGCGACGCCGCGUGGGGGAAUGAAGGUCUUCGGAUUGUAAACCCCUGUCAUGUGGGAGCAAAUUAAACAUAUAGUACCACAAGAGGACGAGACGGCUAACUCUGGGCCAGCAGCCGCGGUACUACCGAGGUCUCAAGCGUUGUUCGGAAUCACUGGGCGUAAAGCGAGCGUAGACGGUUUCGUAAGUCGUGUGUGAAACGCGCGGGAUUAACCCGCGGACUGCACAGGAUACUGCGAGGCUAGAGUGAGGGAGGGGGAAGCGGAAUUCUCGGUGUAGCAGUGAAAUGCGUAGAUA
rnacentral:rRNA from 1 species